AAUCAUUUGAUCUCGCCCUCGACUUCUAUUCAGAGAUGCAGCACAAGAACCUUAAGCCAUAUAUGGAAACAUGUGAUAGACUCAUCUAUGGCCUUUGUAGCAAUGGGAGAACUGAUGAAGCCAACACAGUCCUUGAAACACUGCCGUGCUGUGGUUUGAUUCCCACCAGUCAUAUGUACAAGUACAUAAUCGAUAGAUACUGUGCAGAAAAUAAUCUGGACAAAGCAUCAAAACUAUUACAUGAGAUGCAGCAAAAUGGAUGUUCACCCAAUUUUGAGACUCAAUGGACUUUAAUAAGCAGUUUAAGCAAUAACACUAGAAAGGAAAGAAGUAAAGUUGGUGAGGGAUUCUUGUCUCGUCUUCUCUCUGACAGAAGCCCUUUCUCGAACGCUUUUUAAAUAUGCAUCACCGUCAUUGUAACUCUCCUAGUGACAGUGGCAACAUCUUGGUUUCAGUUUUUGUUUCAGAAUCAGUACUUGCUUGCUGAAGUUGAGAUACGAAAUUAAUUCAAGAAUGUUAUCCAAAGUGCAAGAGAGCUAAGGAUUUUAGAAUCAAUUCUUCCAAAGUACAAUGCAUAUCAUGAGGAAAGUUGGUCUUGAAAGUAAAACCUGACACUAUACUCGAUGAGAGGAAAUUUUGGAUUGCAACUAGAUUCAAGUAUUGUUUAGUGAAGCUCUCCUGCAAGAAAAGUUCUCUUUGCAACAAUUUACCAGGUGUUUUUUUAAGCUGGUUACUAGUUACUACAAACAACAAUCAUCGAAACUUGCAUAAUUUAUCUGCAAAAAAAAAGAAAUUUCACUUCAGAUUACUGUUUUGGAUCUUGGAGCUAAACCAUCACACUGCAUUACUGCUGCAAUCUCCUGCUUUCCUUUCAUUUUUGUUUCAAUCAACUCCCACCCAUGUGUAUCUGUGUAUCUACAAACUCUUUCGAGAGAUGUAUAUAUAUAUAUAUGUAUAUUUUUGAA